AGUGAACGCUGGCGGUAGGCCUAACACAUGCAAGUCGAACGGCAGCACAGUAAGAGCUUGCUCUUACGGGUGGCGAGUGGCGGACGGGUGAGGAAUACAUCGGAAUCUACUUUUUCGUGGGGGAUAACGUAGGGAAACUUACGCUAAUACCGCAUACGACCUACGGGUGAAAGCAGGGGAUCUUCGGACCUUGCGCGAUUGAAUGAGCCGAUGUCGGAUUAGCUAGUUGGCGGGGUAAAGGCCCACCAAGGCGACGAUCCGUAGCUGGUCUGAGAGGAUGGUCAGCCACACUGGAACUGAGACACGGUACAUACUACUACGGGAGGCAGCAGUGGGGAAUAUUGGACAAUGGGCGCAAGCCUGAUCCAGCCAUACCGAGUGGGUGAAGACGGCCUUCGGGUUGUAAAGCCCUUUUGUUGGGAAAGAAAAGCAGCAGGUUAAUACCCCGCUGUUCUGACGGUACCCAAAGAAUAAGCACCGGCUAACUUCGUG
rnacentral:rRNA from 1 species